GUUUAAUGGAAACAUUUGUUUAACAAAGACAGGAGGUUUUCUGUACUGACUGUACUGGUUGGAGAAGUACAGCUUCAUGAUAAAAGGAGCUUUAGUG